rnacentral:rRNA from 1 species
AUGUUCACGGUCAGGAGUGCCUACAAAUUGGCUGCAUCUUUAGCCUGUAUAAAUCAUCCAAACCCCUCAAGUUCAUCUAGGGAUGCAGGUGACCAAAGUAUUUGGGACCUCAUCUGGAAAGCAAAGGUGCCUGAGAAAAUUAGAAUUUUUGGGUGGAGAGUAGCCACAAAUACCCUGGCCACAAAAAGCAACAAAUUUAAGAGGACGCUCGAGGUGGACUCGACUUGUGACAUUUGUGGCAAUGGCGUGGAGGAUGAACAUCAUGCGGUGAUCAAUUGCUCGAACAGCAGGGCCCUUCGCGUUGCCAUGAGGAAGGAGUGGUCUCUUCCAUCAGAGAAAUCCUUCAGACAUACAGGUAGGGACUGGCUACAGGCGCUUUUGGACAAGGAAACAGAGGAAGUUAGAGCAAAAAUCUUAAUGCUGCUGUGGAGAUGUUGGCACUUGAGAGAAGAUAUCCUAAGACACAAUGGCAAAGAAACU